GAUGAACGCUGGCGGCGUGCCUAAUACAUGCAAGUCGAGCGAACAGAUGAGGAGCUUGCUCCUCUGAAGUUAGCGGCGGACGGGUGAGUAACACGUGGAUAACCUACCUAUAAGACUGGGAUAACUUCGGGAAACCGGAGCUAAUACCGGAUAAUAUAUUGAACCGCAUGGUUCAAUAGUGAAAGACGGUUUUGCUGUCACUUAUAGAUGGAUCCGCGCCGCAUUAGCUAGUUGGUAAGGUAACGGCUUACCAAGGCAACGAUGCGUAGCCGACCUGAGAGGGUGAUCGGCCACACUGGAACUGAGACACGGUCCAGACUCCUACGGGAGGCAGCAGUAGGGAAUCUUCCGCAAUGGGCGAAAGCCUGACGGAGCAACGCCGCGUGAGUGAUGAAGGUCUUCGGAUCGUAAAACUCUGUUAUUGGGGAAGAACAAAUGUGUAAGUAACUAUGCACGUCUUGACGGUACCUAAUCAGAAAGCCACGGCUAACUACGUG
rnacentral:rRNA from 1 species